rnacentral:lncRNA from 1 species
GGAGCGCUGUAUGGCUGCUCUGUCUCCUUUCUGUCCUGCUAAUUUUUUUAAGAGACCUUUCCUGGAAAAGUGUAAUCAUAGUGAAGAUUGUGGUUUUGAGGUUCACAGUGCAGAACCAGUUAAACUGGUCUCUGCCUUUGGAUUGGAUGGAUGGGUGGCGGUCAUCAAGAAGGCCUAGCGCUGAACUCACGCUGUUUACCGCAGGGCUGUGGAGGCUCCAUGUGUGAUUUGGAAAUAACUGAGAGCAAGGAGGGCUUUGGAAGUUUGGAGCUGACCUCUCAUGGUCUAGAUGGAACACCACUGGGGUGUGUUGGUCUGGAUGGUGUGACUCCAUGGCUUUCCUUCCACAUAUGAACUGUGCGUAAGAGAGAGGUGAAUCUCGGUCUGGUCUUCUAAGUCAUUUUUUUAAACAUUAAAAAAUAUUUUUGAGUUUAUAUUAAAAUUCAGUAUUUCUCCCUGCCCUUCUUCCUCCCAAGCUCUCCUGUUAUCCCCCCUUCCCUCUUUUAAGUUCAUGGCCCCCGUUCUCAUUAAUUGUGGUUACAUCCCUAGAUGUAUGUGUGUAGACAUACAUAUUUCUAUAUAUAUUCUGCUCAGUCUGUCACUGAACACAUGACACAUUUUCAAGGCUGACCAUUCGGUAGUGGAUAGCCAGUUGGUGAGCUCUCCCCGGAGAAGACUCUUCCUCCCACGCUCAGCAGUCCUCAGAAGGAGUGGUCCUGAAACCCUAGGGUGCACGAGAAGCCAGCGGACACUGGUUUAGGAAGCCGUGGGGCUCAUUUUGUUCUCUCCCGUCCUCAGGUUGUUCUGUGGGAACAGGAGCGGUCUUUUUAUGUUUGGUCGGGAGCUUGGCUUCUUUACUAGAAAAGCCUAACAUCUCUACCGUAGGGAUUGUUUUUUCUUUUUAAAAAAAGUGCGUGUGCGUGUGCGUGUGCGUGUGUGUGUGUGUGUGUGUGUGUGCGCGCGCGCACGCACACACGCACAUAUGUAUGUAUGUAUGCAUACCACCUGCAUGCAGGUGCCUGCAGUGGCCAGAAGAGUGUGUUAGAUCCCCUGGAGCUGGAACUACAGGUGGUUGUGAGCUACCUGGGCUAGCAGUCAAACUCAGGUUCUCUGGAAGAGCAGUGUAUACUCAUGACCACUGAGCUGUCUCUUUAAACCCCUCCAUAAACUUUAUUUUAAAUAAAAUUGUCUCUUUGUGUUGAGUGUUCACCACCCUUGUGUGUGAAUGGCGGUGCAUUUGUGUGGAGGUCAGAGACUGAUAGAUAACCUUGGUGUUGCUGGGUGCAAGCGCCUUUUACCUUGAGGUACAGGAUCUCUGUUGACUGCAGAUAGUCAGACACAGGCUAACUGGCCCGUGAACUUGGCUUCUGUCACUGCCUUCCUCUUGCCGUAGGAACACUAGACUUGCAGACACGCUCCAUCCAGCUUUAUGUGAGCACUGGGCAUUCAAGCUAAGUGUUUCUUGCUUGUUAUACAAGUUGAUUCAUGAGCUGAACCCCACCAACCGCCACUCAGAUGUCUCGGAACAGGUUUCUGAAACAAAGUUUAUCAUUGAGUGCAAAUGAGAAGCAGCCAGGCCAUGAUGAAAUCUUUCUAACCUUGUGGGAAUCUCUCUUGGUUGGGUGCAGUGAUGACAAGCCAUUCCUGCCUGCUUGUCUGCCGAGAGGUUGCAUGGUUUUGUGACAGGGCUUGUCAUCCUUUGUAAACACUGUGUUCUUUUAUUUGUGGCUCGCUACCACCUGCGUGCCUGUUGUGGGAAGUGGAGAAGAUUGUGUGCUGCUCCAGUUCUGAGGGAAUCCACGUUCUCCCCUUUGAUUGAUUCUCUUCAGGUGAUUACUGCUUCCUAGAAAUUACCCUUCUGCCCUUCCCGGCAAAGAAGAGCUGUUAGUUUCUUAAUGUCAUGUGAUUCGACUAUGGAGUACAAAUUCUGCUUCUCUCAUGAGAUACAUGUUGUAUUUCUUCAUACUCUGUGUGCACGCACGCACAGGUGAACACAAGCAAACAUUUCCAGACUACUAUCUUCUUGAGUAGUUACCAUGUUGUUAAGCAUUUAUAGACUAAAUUUUGUAGACAUUUGAAGCAUCUUGAUUUCCAAUAUUUUUUUUUAAAGGGCCAGUGAGGUAACUAUGGCAGCAGACAAAAGCCAAUACAAGGUUCAGAGACCCAGCUCAUGGGUUCUGAGUCUGUCCUCAUACUCCUUUCUUUGUUCUAAGAGGCCCAGGCCAGGGAUUAGCAACUUGUUUGUUGUUGGCUAUUGUGUAUUAGAAAUCGCUACCAAUAUGUGUAGAAUAAUAUGCUUGAGGUUCUGUUUUAUUUGGUUAGAUAGGAUGCAUCUGUUUAGCAUGCACACCUGUAAGGGAGUGGGUCCUCUCUCUAAGGCUUACUUUCUCUGGUUUAUAAGAUGAGGGAAGUGGUACUUGGGUUAUGUACUGUGAGGAGCACAGGCAUUUGCCCAAGACACACCUGUCCACCAAGUGCCCCCCAGAGCCAGCCUGGGCUGCUGUCUACUCUGCUCUUCCAGACUACAAGGAUGUACCGGCCUUAAGGUCACCAUUGUGGAGCUAAGGUUCCAUGACCUGGCACUUGUCUGUACUGUCGGGUAGAAAACAUGUAUUUUUCCCAAGUUAAGCAGCUGCUUAGUUUCAUAAAGUAAAUGAAAACCUUGUGUACUCUUGCAUCUACCUUGAAGUUGGAUGGUGCCGAACAACACAGACUUUAAGGCGGGGUGGGGGGAGCGAGAGCGAGCGCACAUGCACCAUGAGCAGAAACAGGGCGACAUUAUGGUGACCCCCUACCAGGUGUGCAGUAGCAGCAAGGAUUGUGAGGGUGAAUUGAGAUGAGUCUAACACUGUGAUGGAGCUGGGCAUGUGUAAGCCUAGAAUUUGAGAGGCUGAGGCAGAAGGGCCAGGACUUUGAGGCUAGCCUGGGUCUCAAGAGGUCUUGUCUCAAAAAACCCAAAACCAAUUAGCCAAAGAAACCUGUUGUGGAGGACAUGGCAUAAGGCAGUGUUGGGACCGUCUCUGUGGGCUAAGAGACCGACAGAGGCUCACGCUCUUCCUUCUUGGAUGUGUUAAUGUAUCGUCCAAAUUCCCACUGCCGUAAAAGAGGCCAUCAGACCUUCCCUGUCAGUGGACAUAGAGAAGUGUUAGAUAUUUUAAGGAGGGCUAGGUGAGGUCUAGGUAGAGAUGAUGCAACAUGCAUCCCUUAAUUAGGCCUUGAUGCUAGGAGAGGCUGCCCUUACUUACAUCACCUGCUCUGCCCUUCUGUGGGCCAGGCCAGGCUUCCUCAAAGGUGGAGACAGGCUAUCAUGGUGUUCCGACUUCUAACACUCUAUAGUGCGAUUUUCCUUGGAACGUGUGUUACGUAUUGCAUAUUUGCAAGGGCAAGGUGGCAAUUUUGACUUGGUUAGAAACACUGAAGGAGAGCUGGAAAACAGGCCGUUCUCCUUAGCUUCUAUCACCGUCAAGCCUAGGACUGGUUUUGUUUUUCUUAAAAAGGAAACAUUAAUUUUCCUAAAAUU